rnacentral:rRNA from 1 species
AUCCUCCAAGGCUAAAUACUCCUGACUGACCGAUAGUGAACCAGUACCGUGAGGGAAAGGCGAAAAGAACCCCGGCGAGGGGAGUGAAAGAGAACCUGAAACCGUGUACGUACAAGCAGUGGGAGCCUUGAUGAAUCAGGGUGACUGCGUACCUUUUGUAUAAUGGGUCAGCGACUUAUAUUCUGUAGCAAGGUUAACCG